ACGCCUGUAUCUAUAUUUGCCGGAUCCCCGUCUAAGGUGUGUGAAUACUAAUACUUUACCGGCUAUUGUAAGUAUAUACAACACGGUUUUACUUAUUUACCCUACACAUGUGCACUUGAUAUGUGUAGAUACAGCACGCGUCUUAUUUACCGAGCGAUAAAGAGAGAAAGACUGAUCCAGAGAAAAAGAGAAACAGAGAGAUAGCGCCGCGACACGAGCUAUUUUUCAAACUCAAUGUACGUCUAAGCGAUGAUCAGUUUUAGCGACGAAAAGAGCGUUUGGUGGAAAAAAAUAUAUCUAUGAACAGCUCGAAAAAAAUUGGAUAUAAUCUAUCAAGAAUUCGUUUAAAGCUAUCGCUAUUGUGCUUUCUUCUCUUUUUUCGAAGCAAAGAGUACAAAUCCCAAAACAUCAGCGACAAUUAAUUUUAAUCGCUAAAAAUAAAAACAAGAAUCCAACGAUACCGAGUACUUACAAACGAAUCAGUUUAUCCCCUCGAUUUCUCAAGUGAAAACGAGUGAAUUUAGACGUCGAAACUAUUAUAAAACAAAGAUGAAUUUCAUUAGUGAUUAGCUUCACUUCACUGUUACAGUACACGAGAAUAGGCGCGAUCACAAACAGAAAUUCUGAAAUCUUUUGCUUCCGUGAAUAGUGCGACAUACGUUGUGAAUACACGCGCGAGAAACAUACCCCUCCGCCGCCGUUUCGCAUUGUCGAGCAUACAGGCCACGUUCUGUUUUCUUGUGCACAGUCGCAACACCACGGAUCAUUCCCUAGGAAUAAAGUCGUUCACAAGAUCGUGCCAAGAAACACUACCAAGAAACCGAUCGUUAUUUGUGAACAUUCACUUCGAUCAUGCUUAAACCGAUACUUUGUUCACGUUCGUUUGUAACGUAUCGAUAUUACCAGCGUUGAUAAUUAUUCAGAUCUUACGAAAAAUACGAAUACGAAUAUCACAUACGGUGAAAACAUAAACGCGCCAUCAAUUAUUCGUAAAUGUACCGCACGCGACAGUUUCGCGAUUUCUUAAAGAUACAUACAGCAACUCGAUCUACAUAGGCGUCAAUCGUAACAAGCAUCUAUCAACACCAGAAUCAAACGCAAAAGCUUUGCUUAAAAUGGAUAGAGGGAGCUGGCCGCAGUUGUCAACGGCGUACGUGAACAGAAGGCUGGUCGAUAUGGGGAGAAAAGAAUACUGAAAGUGACGAUUACCGAGUAACACAAUAUUCAUGGUACGUACUGGGAAGAACGAUUACUCCUUGCGUUCCUCUUCUUUUCUAUCUUGAACGAAAAAGAAGCACAAUGACACUUCAUUCACGAUAAUGGCAGAUGCGCACGACGGCCUGUCACGUGGUAAAGGGUAAAAAUUACCCAUUUGCACGUGUGCGCCUACUAACGUUUGUAUACAUGCUUAUACACGUGAAUCGCGCGUGCCAGUGUACGUAUCAGAGACGUGUGAAUGUAUCGCGUCGUUGAGUAUAUAUGAACGUAUAUGUGUAGGUAGAACGGUAAGUGUGCAAAAACGUUGCAACAACACGGCGCGUGGACGGUCGCGUCUGGACUGAUCGUGGGGGUCGAGCCACAGGUGUCAUCAGACGGCGGCUGCUCCACCCCUCUGCCCCCACUCGGCUUCCUCACCCGCCUUCGAUCCCCACUCUCGUCGUUACUUUCACGCACACGUCUACUCGUGCCGGAGGAGACGCGUGCGCACAUCAACCGGCUUCCUCUAUCCUCUAUAAUCAUGCAAUAUCAUUUGUUCUACCCAUGGCGCCUAUGAACUCACCGAACCGCGGCACGUGCUUUGCAUUCUAUCUUACAAAUGAUAUGGACAAGUUUUUCAAAUUGAUCUACAUCGCUAUUAGAAUUAAUAGGAAUCAUUAAGAACUUACCGUUUAAUUAUUCACCAUGCGUUUAGAAAUCUGUUUAAGCAUCGGUAAUUCGUCAGUAGCUUGAAAUAUUACAUAAGGUGAAAAUCAGUAGACAAUCAAGCUAUUGUGGAUCGAGCAUUACUUAUCGUACAUUGUAAGCACUUGAGAAAAGACGGAUAAUUGAAUUACCUGAAAAAUAUACACAAAAUUAUGACAGAAAUAGACGAAGAAUUUAAGCGGGAAAAUGAAGGAUGUUAAGUAUUAUUGAAUACAAAUGUUCGUAAUUCAAAUAGAUAUUUAUUCAAAAACCAGUGUAUUUCGUGGCAAAAUGUAUAACGUCAGUUAUUGAUGCAAUGCUCAUGACGUAUUCUCACUCACCCAGUCGCACUCAUACGAAUUCCUCCCUCUCUGUGAUUUAUACUCUUUACUACAUAUAUGUAUAUAUAUUUUUCUUUAUGUUUGCUUAUAGAAUAUUUAAUAUUUUCUUCUCUAUUUAUUCACCAUUUCUGUCUCAAUUCGUAUCUGUACACAUAGUAUCACUGAAUUUAUCCCUAACACAAUUUGAAGAACUGUAUUACAUACAUAAACAUAUGCAUGAAAUCAAUUUGAGACUAGUUAUCCGACACCAAGCGACUUAGUACCAAAAUAGUAACAUUUAUCUGGUAUCGGUAAUUUACAAUCGACGUACCAAAAUAAACACAAUGGGGUUUUAUCUACACGUAUUACCAUUCCUUGGUGUAAAAUUCCAUGUACCCAUACGUAUUUUAAACCAUACAUGUAAUUACUGAUAAUAGUUACAUAAUUGAACGACUUAUACAUUUCUUGCAUAUCGCGCGUAGGAUCAUUAUACGCAUUUGUAUUAACAAGAAUGAAUGCAAUGACGCUAUGCGUACAAUAUAUCAUUGUAAUGUUAGAAUUAUCGAUAGUCUAAUUACAUAUACAGUAUGUGAUAUGGGCGCUUAGCCACUGUUUCAGCUAUGCGGUACGUAAUUUCCCGCGCACCCAAAUGUUUGUUUUUAUAAACGAGCUAAUAAUACGAGUUUUCCUUUCUAAUUAGUAAAAGAAAUCGCACAACAAAUUACUCGUAUCGAUAUAUCGAAUUAAAAUUAAUUAUCUGUUGUAUAAUUGUUUUAGCGUUUCUUUGUACUAUUUUUAUAAAAAUAUUUACCGAUCUUUAACGGGAAAAAGUUUGUAAGUAGAACUAUUUUCUUAGUACUUACGAAGAGAAGGAGAAACUUAUCGAUUUCUCAUUGCUAGCAAAGUCAAACUCGUAUGAUUGGCUUCAAAACAAAUUGGCAACCUUUCGGUCGCCCUCGACUUCGUCGCGUGUCACUUGUGAGACUCGCACGACCGUCCUGGGAAACGGAAGCGCCACUCACUUCCUUCCUCACCCAAACAAUUUUUUUUCUUUUUCGUAAAAGAAUCUUAAGUAUGUGCAAAGUAUGUGCAGAUGAGAGAGAACCAGACUACGUUGUUGUGGAAAUUGUU